rnacentral:rRNA from 1 species
CCUACGGGUGGCAGCAGUGAGGAAUAUUGGUCAAUGGACGAGAGUCUGAACCAGCCAAGCCGCGUGAAGGAUGAAUGUCCUAUGGGUUGUAAACUUCUUUUAUAAGGGAAUAAAACGAGGGACGUGUGCCCGGUUGCAUGUACUUUAUGAAUAAGGAUCGGCUAACUCCGUGCCAGCAGCCGCGGUAAUACGGAGGAUCCGAGCGUUAUCCGGAUUUAUUGGGGUUAAAGGGAGCGUAGGUGGGUUGUUAAGUCAGUUGUGGAAGUCCGCGGCUCAACCGUAGAAUUGCAAUUGAAACUGGCAGUCUUGAGUACGGGAGAGGUAGGCGGAAUUCGUGGUGUAGCGGUGAAAUGCGUAGAUAUCACGAAGAACCCCGAUUGCGAAGGCAGCUUACU